rnacentral:rRNA from 1 species
UGCGUAGGCGGAUUAAUAAGUCAGUGGUGAAAUCUUUCGGCUCAACUGAGAAACUGCCAUUGAUACUGUUAAUCUUGAGUUCGGUUGAGGUAGGCGGAAUGUGUAAUGUAGCGGUGAAAUGCUUAGAUAUUACACAGAACACCAAUUGCGUAGGCAGCUUACUAGACCGACACUGACGCUGAGGCACGAAAGCGUGGGGAGCGAACAGGAUUAGAUACCCUGGUAGUC